AUUGAACGCUGGCGGCAGGCAUAACACAUGCAAGUCGAACGAGUGGCGGACGGGUGAGUAACGUCUGGGAAACUGCCCGUUGGAGGGGGAUAACUACUGGAAACGGUAGCUAAUACCGCAUACCAUCGGAUGUGCCCAGAUGGGAUUAGCUAGUAGGCGGGGUAAAGGCUCACCUAGGCGACGAUCCCUAGCUGGUCUGAGAGGAUGACCAGCCAAACUGGAACUGGUACACGGUCCAGAGUCCUACGGAAGCAAGCAGUGGGGAUUAUUGCACAAUGGUGGCAAGCCUGAUACAGCCAGACCAGGUGUAUGAGGAAGGCCUGCGGGUUGUAAAGUACUUUCAGCGGGAAGGCGUUACCCGCAGAGGAAGCACCGGCUAACUCCGUGCCAGCAGCCGCGGUAAUAC
rnacentral:rRNA from 1 species